rnacentral:rRNA from 1 species
GGAAGGAACUAACAGGGAUUCCCCUAGUAACUGCGAGUGAAGCGGGAAAAGCUCAAAUUUAAAAUCUGGUAGUCUCUGGCUGCCCGAGUUGUAAUCUAGAGAAGUGUUAUCCGCGCUGGACCGUGUACAAGUCUCCUGGAAUGGAGCGUCAUAGAGGGUGAGAAUCCCGUCUUUGACACGGACUACCAGGGCUUUGUGAUGCGCUCUCAAAGAGUCGAGUUGUUUGGGAAUGCAGCUCUAAAUGGGUGGUAAAUUCCAUCUAAAGCUAAAUAUUGGCGAGAGACCGAUAGCGAACAAGUACCGUGAGGGAAAGAUGAAAAGAACUUUGGAAAGAGAGUUAAAUAGUACGUGAAAUUGUUGAAAGGGAAACGCUUGAAGUCAGUCGCGUUGGCUAGGAAUCAGCCUUGCUUUUGCUUGGUGUACUUCCUUGUUGACGGGUCAGCAUCAAUUUUGACCGGUGGAAAAAGGCUAGUGGAAUGUGGCAUCUUCGGAUGUGUUAUAGCUGCUAGUUGUAUACAUCGGUUGGGAUUGAGGAACUCAGCACGCCGAAAGGUCGGGGUUUUGCCCACGUUCGUGCUUAGGAUGCUGGCAUAAUGGCUUUAAUCGACCCGUCUUGAAACACGGACCAAGGAGUCUAACAUGCCUGCGAGUGUUUGGGUGGAAAACCCGAGCGCGUAAUGAAAGUGAAAGUUGAGAUCCCUGUCGUGGGGAGCAUCGACGCCCGGACCAGACCUUUUGUGACGGAUCCGCGGUAGAGCAUGUAUGUUGGGACCCGAAAGAUGGUGAACUAUGCCUGAAUAGGGUGAAGCCAGAGGAAACUCUGGUGGAGGCUCGUAGCGAUUCUGACGUGCAAAUCGAUCGUCAAAUUUGGGUAUAGGGGCGAAAGACUAAUCGAACCAUCUA